UUCGGGAACGGAACCGGAAGUUCCGCCAUCUCCUUGUACCAUUCGAGCUACAACAGGAUUUUCCGUAGAAACCGACAGCCAGACGGUUGCCAUGUCGACCUCAUCGCUACGGCGACAAGUGAAGAACAUUGUCCACAACUUCUCAGAGGCAGAGAUCAAGGUGCGGGAAGCGACAUCCAAUGACCCAUGGGGCCCCAGCAGCUCUCUGAUGUCAGAGAUUGCAGACCUGACCUACAACGUAGUGGCCUUCUCUGAGAUCAUGAGCAUGGUGUGGAAACGACUCAACGACCACGGCAAGAACUGGAGACACGUCUACAAGGCUAUGACUCUCAUGGAGUACCUCAUAAAGACUGGUUCAGAGCGCGUGGCUCAGCAGUGCAGAGAGAACAUCUACGCUGUCCAGACUCUCAAGGACUUCCAGUUCAUCGACAGAGACGGCAAGGACCAGGGGGUGAAUGUGCGGGAGAAGGCCAAACAGCUGGUAACACUGCUGAAGGACGAGGAGAGACUACGAGAGGAGAGGAUCCAUGCCCUCAAGACCAAAGAGAAGAUGGCACAGACCACCAGUGCCUCUUCGGCCCCCUCAGCUCCAGGUCUGGGGGGUGGAGCGCUGUCUCAGGGCUCUCACUCCGGAGGGGCGGACCCAGAGCAAGCGUGGCCACAGAGCUCCGGUGAGGAGGACCUGCAGCUGCAGCUGGCCCUGGCCAUGAGCAAGGAGGAGGCGGAACAGACUACUGUGGCCCCUCUGGAGGACGCAGAGCUCCGCUAUGCACUCACACUCAGCAAGGAAGUACAAGAACAGGAGGAGAGGCUGCGCAGGGGGGACGACCUGAGACUGCAGAUGGCCAUCGAGGAGAGCAGGAUGGAGAAGGCCAAGCCAGAGGAGAGUGUGUUAAUGGAGCUGAGUGCUGUGGACCCCUGGGGGGCUCCUGCUGCUGCCUCUGGGGGCUCUGCCGGCCACUCACCCCCUCCCACAGUCCCCCUCCCAGCCCCCUCUGGCCCCUGGGGCCUGGCCCCUGCAGACCCUUGGGGAGCCUCGUCGCCUGCUUCACCCCCCAGCGUAGACCCGUGGGCUAGUGGAGGGACGGCCCCCCCAACGAUAGCCCCCCCGCCAGACCCCUGGGGAGAGACAGCCUCAAGAGUCAACUCAGUUGACCCCUGGGGACCCUCAGCUGUGACCCCCCCCCAGUGUCGACCCCUGGGGCCCCUCUGUGCCCCUCUCCACCACCUCCUCUUUUGGGGGGCCAAUAGACCCCUGGGCUGGGGACGGGGUUGACCCCAUCAUCACCUCUGACCCAUGGAGCGACUCCGCCAAACACACUAAUGGCACAGGACACCCAGAACUGCGAGGUCAGUUAACGGGCGAUAGUGCGGGUUCUCCGGUGCCCUUUGACCUCACAUCUCUGUGCUCUUCACUUCCUGUCCGUAAGACCCCCCCGAGUCGUUCCUGGGGCCCAACGCAUCUCUGGUGGACCUGGACUCACUGGUGUCUUCUAAACCCAAACCUAAACAACCUCCUCCUCCAUCAAUCUCCUCCUCAACACACAACCCCUUCCUCCAGACUACAGCCUCGUCUUCAGCCCCUGGCAUGGCAGUCACCCCGGGCAGCACAAUCUCCAGCAGGGGGGUUUCCCCGACGCCACCCCCCACCUCCAACCCGUUUGGCGCGGCCGCCCCCAUGUCCUCCAUCUCCCCACAGCCCUCCACACUGGGCCUCAGCAGCCUCCGCACCAGCCCUGUACCACCCAACCCCAUGGCAUACCCUGGCAUGGGCUUGGGGCCUAUGGGUAUGGGAGCACCAGGCCUGGGGAUGGGCAUGAUGCAGAGCCCCAUGGGAAUGUCCCCCUACGGUGGGCUCUCGCCCAUGGGUCCUCCUGGGUCCUCUCACUUCAUGGGGCCCGGAGGGGCCCUGCCCCCACAGCUGAAUUUUGGGGGGGCCUACGGGGGCAGCUGGAGUGAUGCGAGGAGUGGGAGGGGCAGUGGGAGGGGCCGGAGUGACGGGCUCCAGCACCAAUCCCUUUCUUCUUUGAGGGCGUUUCGGCACUCCCCCUUCCUCUUCAACACCCAAUCCAGGCCCUGCCCCACCCCCUGGCUCAUCUACUUCCCCCCCCAGAGCGAUCCUCCUUCAACACAAACAUUUUAUGUUUCCAAUAAGAAACGUGUGUACAUCUCUAUAUUUAAAGAAAAUCUGAAUUUGUUAUUUUCUUUCAGAAGCAUUUACAUGUAUUUUUCUCCUAGCUCAGAUGAAUUUCAACAACAAAUAUUUUGGUUCCUUUCAUUUUAGUGGGAUGUAGCGGGAGGGAAAUAGACGUUUAUUUAUUUUUAUUUCGUUUUAAUGCGUUUUGCUUUCUUUCAGUCCUUUCUGAAAUAAAGGUGGGUGUUUGAGAGUUAGGCUUCAUCAGUUAUGUCACACUGAUAUAAUAUUGUAUUAUUGCACUGACAGAGAUGGGGAGAGAGAUGGGACAUGGCCACUAACAAACUGAAACACAAACAAAUUCCUGUACUUGCCUCUUCCUUUCUUUGUCUGAAAAGAGGAGGAUUGAAGGAGGAUUUGAUUUUAAAAAAACUCCUGAACAAGAUUUGGACUGAAAAAACUGGCAUUAACAUUUCAGCCACAAUAUAGUCAAAUCAUUCAGUAGCUGUUCUAUUUUUUAUUUACUGUCAUUUAUUCCCUUUUUUCCACUCCUGGGAAUGAAUAAACAAGGGGGGGAAAUUACGCAAUUAAUGCCAUUAAAUCAAAUGCUUAUUUUUUUUCUUGUCAUGGAAAUCAAGAGGGCAACUAAUUGAAUUGGUUGAGGAGAGAUGGAAUGUGUUUUGUAAAUGUGUUGUGUGGAAGAGUGUGUGUGAAUGUGUCUCCGUCUCCAUUCAUCCUGCGUCCUCGCUUAUUUCAGCAAGAUACAAAUCUAUUAUUUUUGUUUUUAAAAAUUGUCACUUGUAUCAAUGCUAUGUAAUGUUGGGAUUUCAAAUGAGGUAUUAUAAGGAUCGCAUUUUUCUGCCAAUUUUAUUUCACAAAUGUUUUGUAUUAAUCAAAAGCAUUAGUCUUUCUCACUCUUUCAUACAGAAUGUCUCGUCUCCAGGUGUCUCAACAUGACUGGACCCUCUCCUUUCUGACCCUCGCUCCUACGGGGGGAGAGCUGCAGAUGCUUCUUUUAAAGAGACAAUUCAAUGAACGAACUUAAACAACAGGGGACUUGAUGACAUGCUCCAUGCUGUUUCUUUUCAUUUAGUUUGAUGAAUUGAUUGUUAUUUUAUAUCAACUAAAAGAUCUCUUUUAUUGGGUAAGGUCACAUUUUGUGUGGUGUUAACUGUGAACAUUCACAUUUGAGAAGUACAAUAAAAAAAGAAAAUAAAUGUAAGAAAUCAAAUACA